rnacentral:lncRNA from 1 species
GUUUUCACGCUGCAACCUAAAACAACUUUAUCAGGAAACAACUUUCACGCUGCUGCAAACUCCUCUGCACUCAAUUCAAAUUUCAAAUUCAAAUCACUUACUCUCUCUCGCCCUCUUCUUUCACAUUCAUUUAGCAUUCUUUCUCCUCCGUUCGUUUCUCGCUUCAUCUCCGACCUCCGACCAGGUAACAAUUUGUCUCUCUCUCCCCGUUUUCCAUUUGUUACAAAUUAACUUCCAUCAUUAUGAAUUGUGAUUCUCUCUUUGGAUUGGUGAAGUGUUUUUUCUCUUCUCAAUAGUUUAUCUAAUGCCUUAAACCACUCCCAUUUGAUUCCUUGAUUUCUCUGUUACUGUUUGUUUAGGUUCACAAACCGAGCGACGACAAAGAUCGAUCAAGCAGAGUACACGACUGCAGCGAAGGUAAGCACUUCAGAUCCAUUUUCGUUUUCGGAUUCCAGAUCUAUUCUAUUUUGAUUCUAUGGUGAUGUUGCUUCUUACUUUACUGCCGUUUUUUUUUUCUAUUUUUUUUAAUGUUCAAUCAGAUAUUGCCGCUCAUGAAUUUGAGGAAAAGGUAUGUAAUUUAACAGUAUUAACUUUUGUUUGAUGGAUUUGGAGGGAGAAUGUUUGAUAUAUAAAAAAGAAAAGAACCAAUAACUCAAUGUAUGAUGAGAUCCUUCGAUGUGGAGUGGAAUGUUUGAUAAGCAUUUUUUAACUAAUUUAAAAAGUAUUUUCCAUUAGUGAUCGGUAAUAUUUCUCUUUAUCACUAAUUAAUGAAUUUCUCAAUGUAUGAUGAGAUCAUUUAUGUAGGUUUUCUUUCUUAUUAUUAGCUUCAUUUUGAUUUCCACUUUGUCUCUUUUUCCACAAAAUUGGGGAUGUAUCAAGAAUUAAGGGUGAUAUUGUUAUGCCUAUAAUUACAUGACAUUAUUAAGUCUUUUAUUUAUAUUUUAAUUGCAAUCAGGUUAAAAAAAUUCUGAUGUUUUUUUGUUGCAG